rnacentral:misc_RNA from 1 species
GACAAAGGAGAAGUGCAUUCGCCGAGUAGUCGAACCUGAAGCAUCCCCACGACCCUCCCCCCGCCGUCUCAAGAGGCUCUUCAAAAUAGAGGCCGUGCCCGCAAGAACGCACGGAUAAAAUCAACGAACGUACGGCCGCAAACACGCACACAUACACAGGAGGAGGGGGCGUGCCACCAGAAGCGUUCUCUUUUCUCUUUCUCUGUGUUUCUGUCUGCUUCGUUCCCGCUCGCUACGUGACGGGAAUCAUAUCGGAAGGCCGGUUCCGAGUCGCCCUUCUUCCUUUGGACACGCGCACCUCGGAGAGACGAGAUGCGGCUGAACAUCACAUCUGCAAAGGAACGCCACGGGGAGGCGUGCACGACUGUCGCCGUCUCACUAAACGGCGACAUCAUCAGCGGUAGCGACGACUUCACUGUUCGCCGAUGGAACGCCAAUGGGGAGGCGCUAGGGGUGGUGAAGGAGUUUGAUAGCUGCGUGACCUUCGUGACGUGGGUGCCGAGGGUGGGGCGCGGUGCGCGUCUGGCCCGUGGCGCGGCAGCGGAGACGCGUGAGGGGCGUGACAACUGCCUUGUCGCGUGUGCCGAUGGCAGCUUUUCCUUCGUGAACACGGCGAGCGGGCGAGUGGAGCGGACUAUCGAGGCGCACGCUGGCAGCAUUACGGCCGCUGUCUACGCCGCCGACGGCUCCUCCAUCAUCACGGCCGGCGAGGACGGGUGCGUGAAGGUGUGGUCGCAGGCCGGCAUCCCUCGCACGACUCUUGCCAACGCUGGCCGGUGCAUCAACGCGCUCUGCUGGGGUACGGAGGCGGCCGAGCUGGGCGGUGACUGUGUGUUGUACGCCGUAGGCAGCGACGUUGUCAUCAAGCCGCUGAACCCUGCCAUGAAGAAGCAGAUCAAGUGGAAGGCGCACAAAGGCGUUGUGCUGUGCGCGGACUGGUCGCGCAUGAGCGGCAUGAUCGUGACGGGCGGCGAGGACGGCGCCUACAAGGUGUGGGACCCGUGUGGCUGCAGCAUCUUCGUCUCUGCCGCUGGCGAGCACCCCAUUACGUCUGUGCGCUUUGCCGCCGAUGGUGAGAGCUUCGCCGUCGGCUCCUUCAUGAACGUGCGGGUGUGCGACAAGACCGGCUGGAGCCACUCCUACGAGCGCACCACCGAGGGCAGCGCGAUGGCGCUGGACUGGAUGCCAGAUGGUACGCAGAUGAUCCUCGGCAACGGCACUGGCGCGCUUAGCAUUGCGCAGAUCGUGGACCGCAAGGUGAGUUGGGGGCCCUACACCGUCACCCUCCUUGAUAGCCGCCGGCUUACCGUGCAAGACGUGGUCAAAGACACGGUGCAGGAAAUCGAACUGGCGGACAAGGUGAUCAAGCUAGAGCUUGGCUGCGGCUACCUCGUCGUGUGCACGACAACGCAGUGCUGCUGCUACCCCAUGGACCGCUUGAACGCGCCAGUGCAGUUCGACCUGCGCGACCCCGUCAUCUCGAUCAUUCUCGGGCCGCGCCAGUUCCUGCUGGCCGACUGCAGCCAGGGGCUGCAGGUGUACUCGUACGAGGGCCGCCAGAUCAGCGUGCUGCGUCUGCAGGUCACUUUGAAGCCGGAGAUCAUGACAACAAACCUGCUGUCGCUGUCCCCGGACACCGUGGCGAUGCGCAACCCGGCCGACGCUAACCGCAUCCUCUUCUUCGAUGUGAACAGCGGUAAGCCCUUCGACGCCGCCUCUGUAGCCCACCACCUCGACAUCGUCUCGGUUCACCUCUCCCAGUCCGGCUCCCUGCACGACCGCAAGAUCGCCUUCAUUGACCGCAACAACGACUUGUACUUUGGCCCCGUGCACACCCAGCUCGGCUUCCAUAAGCUGUCAACGAUGACGACCAGCGUGACAUGGCACGACGCCCACGAAACCCUUGCCGCCAUCGCAGACGGUCACCUUGCAACGUGGUACUACCCCUCCACCAUCUUCACCGAUCGCGAUUUGUUGUCGCUCACCAAGACCGUGCGCGACGGCGGCCACACCGAGUUCACGCGGAACGACCGCAUCACACACUUUCACCACACCCGCGUCCUGGUGCGGCGCGGCGGCGAUGGUGCGCUGCUGACGCUGCCUGUCUCGCCGUACACCGUGAUGAUCUUCCAGCUUGUCACGCAGAAGAACAACUGGGACGGCGCCACGCGACUGGCACGUUUCCUGAAGGACCCGUUGCUGUGGGCGGUGCUGACCGCUCUGGCACUGCGAGCCGGCGAGCUGAACGUGGCCGAGAUCGGCUACGGCGCCCUCAGCGACCUGGCCAAGGUACGGUACAUUCACUACAUCAAGGGCAUCCCGACGCCGGAGGCGCGGCAGGCGGAGCUUGCACUUUUCCAGCACCGCCCCGCCGAGGCGGAGCGCAUCUUGCUGCAAGCCGGGCUCGUCUACCGCUCCAUUGACAUGAACACGCGUCUGUUCAAGUGGGAGCGGGCACUGGAGAUCGCAAAGGAGCGCAAGACGCAUCUGGACACGGUGCUGGGCCGCAGGGAGCGCUACCUGCAGGAGGUCUCCCAGAAGGAAACGCUCGCCCCGUUCAAGGACCUGUCCGGCAAGAUAAAGGUUGACUGGGCGGUAAUUGAGGAGAAGGUAAAGCAGGAGGUCAUCAAGGAGUCGGAGCGGCCGAACGCGAAGCCAUAUGCGUAGUGCAUCUUGUCUCCCUCCUUAUCUCGCGCCGCCCAUGCCAAGUGCGCUGCCCCUUGCGUGGGCUACCGUGGUCGCUACAGUGACCAGCGGUCGUGCCAUGAUUGCUUCGGCGUAAUCUUCACCGCUGUCGACCCCCCCCGCCUCUUCUUGCAGAGGCGCACAGAAGCAGCGAGAAACUCACAUCUUCCCUUUUCUCUUCGCGUUCUCGUUCAACUUUGUCGAGUUUACGUCUGUGGGUGGCGGCCGUGCAGCGUGCUGCUGGUUGGUACCAGCACGGAUGGUGCCCCCCCCGCGCUGUCUGCCAACGGUGAGCAAGCGCGCUCAUGUUGUUGGUUUGCAUGCGCGCAUGCGUGCUCACACUCGCCUCACCUCUCUCCCCUCCCCUCUGUGUGUGCGGGGCAUGAGCGGCUCCGAUGUAACAUAGAGAGUCCAAGCCACCCCCUUUGUUUUCUUCGUUGGCUCCCCGUUCUCUCGUUAUGUUUUUUUUUACCCUUCCGUGCUCCGUUCGCAUACGGGGGGGGAGGUACGCACGUGAAUGUGUGGCGUGUGUUAUCUGUGUGUUAUCUGUUUGUAGCGUGUGCGGGUGCUUGUGCCCAUUGGCGCUCAAAAUGCGAGCAGAACACACGCGCAGGCGCGCGAAAAGAAACGGCGGCACUCCGCCAAUCGCGGAGUACGCCGAGUGCACAGGAGGGGGGGGUUGACAUGAUGCGUAGCGGAUGGAGGCAACAUCCACACACAAGGGCUUCGGAUGGCCCCUCCCCUCUCCUCCUCGCGCUCAACGGAGGGGAAGCGAGUGAUUGACAUGAUUCAAGCGCAUCUGCUUGCUCGCGCUUCAUCUCACCCAUCUCUCUUGUGUGCUGCGCGUGUUGCUGCCGACCAUGCCCGCGAUGCCAUGCAGUCCCCGUGUCUUCCUCUGCUCUUCUGAAGUGUGUGAUCACCGUCUUCUUUCUCGUCGUUGUGAGGCUCGAAUCAACUCUUGCUCUCUGCGCCCUUGCUUUUACGUCUGACAUGUACUGGCAUUUGCACACUCUGCACGCUCACACGUGGACCGCAACAAACACCCACGCAUCGCAG